GAUAAAGAAGGCUGUGCAGCAGGAAGGCUUUGGCAGAAAAAAGCGAGGCUAUAGAGAGAUCAAUGAAAUUGACAUAAACAUGAAUGAUCCUUUAUUUACAAAGCAGUGGUACCUGAUCAACACUGGUCAAGCAGAUGGGACCCCUGGACUUGAUCUAAAUGUGGCUGAAGCCUGGGAGCUGGGAUAUACUGGGAAAGGUGUUACCAUAGGAAUUAUGGAUGAUGGAAUUGAUUAUCUUCAUCCUGAUCUUGCCUCAAAUUAUG